CUUGGCAAAAGGACAAAAGAAUAUUUAAAUAAGACAAGUUUAGACAAUAAAUCACAACAAACAUAAAUUGUAUACACAUAAUACACUCCUCCCGGAAAGUUUACACUAUGACUGAAUGACUGACUGUGUGAAUUUUCGCCACUCAUCACAAUAGUGCACAGUUUCAAAGAAACACCGCACUAAAAAGGGUGAAGAUUAAUUAUGCGGAAAAAUGUAUACAUGAAUAAUGUUAUGAAUAUGACAACUGUCCGGAGAUAAUAGGUAACCUUUUUGAAUGUGCAACAAUAAGUAUAAUAAUAAGUCUUGUAAUUAGUUCGUAACUGUGGUAUAUAUGUUAAUAAAGCUUGAGAACAAUCUCUAUACUCAUAUUCUCUCAUUACAUAUUCACAUCUAAUUAUAUUUAGGGAGUGGUCAUUAUUUAUGGGGAGGGGGGAGGUUGGUAAACGGGGAAAAUAAGGAUUGAAAAUUAUUUUGCCCCCCCCCAGACUGAAAGCAAACUUUUUGUGCCCCCCCUAAAAGUAGAAACCCCCCCCCCCCCCAGUGUGGAUUGAAAAAUUAACAGCAAUGAAACAGGUGAGCAUUGCAGGUAAAGUUAGAUAUUAGGACAAUCUGUUUAAUCUAGCUCAUGUUUUACCCUGGUGAAUAUGAUUAAACCAUAUAUGAUUAAAAAGUAUAUAUUAUGUGUUACUACUUUGCAAUGCAACAUUUGUCCUACCAUGGCUCGUCUUCAUACAGCGAAAUUAUUUGAACACACUGGGCUUUUUUUAAGAACUUGUCUGCUGGGGGGUGGGCAUUUACAAAAAGGGACCAAUACUAUACUGAUCGAGUGUGGAGAGAUCAGUGACAAAUGGUUGUUGGUGAAAAAAUUAAAAAGUUUGGUGUGCUAUCGUAUGUACUAGUAGGGGGGUCUGGGGGGCAUUCUCCCCCAGAAAAUUUUUUGUAUUUUUCCACCCCUAGGACUGAAAUGUGAGCAUUUUCUGAAAUAGAUAUUUGGAUAUACAGCAUUACAUUGUGCUUUGAUAGACCAAAUCUGAUCAGUUAAGUGUACUUGCAUGGUAUGCUUAUCAUGUAAAUACCACAACUGUCCAGGUCACUCAGGGGGUAGGUCCAAGCUUGUUAAACUUAGUGGGCACGACUUCCACGAGGCGCUACCAUGGUUGGCACCAAGCAGGGAAAUUUUGAAUAUUUUGAGUCUCUAGAUCGUUGGGAAUGGCAUUUUCAGAGUCUUCUUUUUUGCUAUUUGUGAUUAUAGAAAUCAGAACUCUAGUCAUGGUAUUUAAGUUCAAAAACUUUUUUGUAAAACUUCGUUUGACACCCCCCCCCCAUUUACCAACCCCCCUCCCCAUAAAUAAUGACCACUCCCUUACUGCUUCAUGCAGUAAAUUUGCAUUUUAUCCCCAUGUAUUAACACAUGGACAACUUUUAUUUUAGGCGUUCGUAAACCCAUUGCGGGGUAUCUUAAACUAUUUUGUGUAUCAUGAUCAUUCAUUUAAAGCAUCAUUGAAUGACACAAGACCUAGCCAAGGAUGUAUUCUUCAAAUUGUUUCUUAUUAAUAAAUGAUAUUAUAAUUAAAGAAGGAGUAUUUUUAUAUAUAACACUAAAAUCAGGUUUCCAUUUGGUCUGGGCAAUUGUAACCUGAUGUCAAGAUAGCUGAUGUAAUAAUACAUUGUCAAUUUAUCUCUGCAAUCAAUAAAGACUGAUUUGCAUACAGCACACAAAAGACAAGAUAAAUCCAGACUAUUUCACAUCAGUGACCAUGAUUUAGUCACAACAUUUACAACCAAAUGGAUACCAGGCCUUUUAGGCAAAUUCCUUCAAAUUUAAUGGCAACCCUCCCCCCAUUUUCUUGAAAAAAAUUUAAUAGCCUCCCCUUCUAGUAAUUUAUUUAUACAUAUGCCCCCCUAUUUUUGCCGACCACCCCCCCCCCUUCCAUAAAUAAUGACCGGUCUCUAAUAGUUAUUUUCCUUUUCAGGACAAUGUGAUAAAUAGCCCUUGUUUGCUGCACUGGAUGAUAUUUGUGUUAUCAUCACUCAAACGAUAAAACUGAUAUUGCCUCGCCUCUCAUAUACGAGAAACUAAACUUGUUACAUGAAGUACGAAUACACUGCAAUGUUAUGGUUCACUCACUUCACUGUAAAGUUCUAUAAAGCAAAGUUUUAUAAUAGUAUAAUUACAAUAACAAGGUAAGAUGUUGCUGUUCUUGUUUUUCUAGACAAAAUCGAGUCCCCUGCCCCCCUGUAGUCACCUGUCACAGAAAUUAUGUAUCAAUAUCGAUAUCACAUUAUAACUUUACAAACUUGAAAAACAUAUCUGUGCUACAUCUAAAGAUACGACACAAAAAUUUACAUUGAAAUAUUUUGAAAUUCGCAAUUACAUGAUACAUCUGACAAUAAAUGAUAGUAAAUUGAUAGAAUUUGCGAUAUAAUUUAUACAGUUUCGGUCAAACGUAUUAAUAAUUUACGUACAUGUAUAUCUAAAACAUCAUGCAGCGAACAUUAGCUCAGUGGCGCAUGAUCUUAUAAAAAUCUUCAAUCAAGAGGCUUUGAUAUUGAUCUGGUAUUUAUACGUAUUAUUGAUUCGGCAAACAAACAGUCAUCUUGCAGAGUUACAGUCAAAACAUACCUGUAGAACGCGGUGCAAUCUGACAACCACAUCUAGCUACAAACAGUGCUAAAAAACCCAACCAAAUCAUGAUUAUUUCUCUGACUAAAAGAGCUUGUUUGAAGAUUAAGAGUCA